rnacentral:sRNA from 1 species
CUUAAAGUAAUAUUCAUAUGUUUAUUAUGAACCAAAUAGAAAAAUAUUAUGACUGUAAGCAAGACGGAUGUAUAACCACACCACCAUGCUGGAGAAAAUGCGUGUCUAUGGGAUACCCGAAAGGAGGAGAAUGUCGAAUAUACAGUUAUGGCGGUGUUUGUUGUUGUGACCUCACUUCUAAGCCUCCUAAUUAAAAAAAAUUUCAUUAUAAAUGUACUCCCAAUAAUAUAUGAAA